AUUACGAUCAGUAUGAGGGUAAAAUUGAAAAACAUCUUAAGCAUGGUUCGUAAUAUUGGAAUCAUGUACCAUAUUAGUACCUUACCGAUUCGGUAUGGUAUACCUCUGCGCCAAAAUAGCUUUUUUAUCCAUUUUCUCAAUUUUUAUCUCGGUACGCCUCAAUACCAGUCGGUAUGCCUCGAUAUGGGGCGGUAUACUUCGGUAGACUUGUACCGACUUGAAUAUAUGUUUCGUACCAGUUUUCUCUCGGUACGGUACGGUACGGUACGUCCCGUAUUGGGCAGUACGGGGGCGGUACAGCAGACAUUGAUCUGAAGCUUGCAUCCAAAUUGGAUUUGCUAAUGAGAAGAUGUCAACAAAAAAUAAAGGCGUGCUGAAAAGAGAAAAGGAAGUGUUUCAGGAAUUUAAUACAAGCCAUAUGUAAUGAAUCAGUAGACAGACUUGCAUUGAUCUAGCAGCUGAUUAAGGCAGAACAAGAAGCGUCAAGAUAACAAAAAGUUAUCUGUAAAUGAGUAUGGGAUACCAUAUAUGGUGUAAAAACAUGUUAAUGGUGACAUGUUGAGGGAAUUUCAAGAAGAAUAUUCGAAAAACUUGAACGCAAAGUGUAAGCUGAACACAGAAACCUAGCAUAGAGGCUAGCACGGAUGACAAGGAGACGGAUGCAAAUUAAUAAAAAAAAUGUAAUUUCAGUGCAACACUCAUCUAAUAAACAUGACCAGAUAUUUUUUGGGUUUCCACAGUUGUCCAGCAAUAGUGCAUCAUAUUCCUCAAAAAGCACACCACCUUCAUCACUGAAACUAAGGCCAGUGUCACAAUAUACAACCAUAAAGUUCUGUGGAAUCAUCAAAUUAACACGAAUUUAUAAAAUUGAAUUCAUCAGUUGGUUCUAUCCAAUACAAGGGCAUUUCAGAAUGAUUAAAUUUUUUAGAAAAAAGUACGAGACCGCAAAAAUUAACUAAGAUUGCUAUUUAUAGAGGAUUUCCUAUAAAGUGCAGAAUAUAUUAACUCUAAGAUGAGAUUGCUGGUUUCUAGAGCAGGCAUGGAGUUAACCUUAUUAUAGAUCCUGAUGGCCACAUAUUACACUGCAGUGUUUCUUUUACAUGUUAUUGUCCAUGUCCUAUGAGAAAUACUUUAUGAAGUUUUUUUUACAAUUGAAAGAUGUAAAGCAACCUGCAUUUCUUAAUAUAUUUUCCUUUUCAAAUAGGUCACUGUAGUUAAUUCAAAGAAGAGAACAGACAUAGGAAUUACAACAACGAUGAAGUUGGCGUAAAAUUGGAAUAAAGAACAUAACUAGCCUCUUCUGGAUCGGUAAUGGUUGUACAAUUUCAUGCAUUUUAUUCCUCAAGAUAUGACACCUUUCCCCUUGAGGUCAAAGAUGUGUGGAAUCAUCG
rnacentral:lncRNA from 1 species